rnacentral:lncRNA from 1 species
UAAAAACAAAAAGAGGAUGCAAAUCCUCCAAGAAUAAAACUAACAAAGCGCAACUGCUAAAAGAACAACAAAGGGAAAUGGAAGAAGCUACUAGCUAAACACCCAGUUGAAUUGAGGAAGGAGUCAUCUUGCACUUUGAUACUGUCUAACAAGUCAGAUCAUUAUGUAGCUUUCAAGGUUAGGUCUACUUGUGGUAAUGCACAGAAGUAUUAUGUUGAUCCUUCUUGCAUUGGAGUUGUGCUGCCUAGGUCUACUUGUGAUAUUAUAGGUUUUCCCCUCUCUUUUUCACCAUUUUUUCAUCAGCACCUGUUAUUGCUUACUGCACCCUCUUUAGUAAAUUAUUUACUCUAGACAAGCUAAAUCCGUUGUAUAAAUGUAGUUUGUUCUGUUACUCACUUUCUUUGACUGUUUGUGUCAUAUUUACAUUUUCACAUUGCUUACUGCACCCUCUUUGACUGUUUGUUUGAUGAUGAUUCUCUAAUACUAGCAAGAGUAGUAGUGUGUCCUGUUGACCCAUUGUUCAGGGAAAAUAUCCUCUUCAACUCCCAUUUAUUGAAGUGGAGCUCAAUGCUCUUGGGCAUUUUCACAAUUUAUCUUCAAUUUGUAGAGCAAAAGCUAUAUUUAAGAGGUUCAAUAAAAUCACGAUGCGAUUUUGUUGCAAAUCCAUAA